GCGGGUGUAGCUCAGGGGUAGAGCGCGACCUUGCCAAGGUCGAAGUCGAGGGUUCGAAUCCCUUCACCCGCUCCA
rnacentral:tRNA from 3 species